rnacentral:misc_RNA from 1 species
ACCUGACGGCUGUAAACAGAAGUCGCUUAGGGCUGGAUCUUUUCCAGUUUGUGGUUUUUUUUUUUAAAAAGAUAUAUAUUAAUUUGAUCUAACUUGGUACACCGAGUUUUACCAAAAGCAUUUUGUAAAUCUCGUGUAUAUAAAACAUUAAUUAAAUUAGGGAAACGGCCGGUUUAAGACCAACUGCCAUAUUAGAUCACUGGUUUAAAAGCUCUAAAUGUAUUAAUGCUUUUAGUCGUCAUCAUGGACUUCAUGUCAAGAAAAAACGAAGCUGAACAGUGGCUGUGCGAAACUAGAAGCAAAUUUUUGCUUACAAGUGUGGAUGAAAAAGAAAAUAUGAUGCACUUCAGUGAUCCUAACACAGCUGUCACCUUUAAUGUUAUCUGCCCGUCAGUCGGAGUUUCAUGGAGUGUAUGUAGUGAAAAUGAAAAAGUUCUUCAUCAACUGCAAGAUGUUAUGGAAUAUCUGGAGGCAAGAAAGGAUUUGACUAUGAGGAAUGUUCUCCAGCUGAUCAAUGACUGCUUGGAAAAAGCCACUUCCAAAAAGAUCUUCAACAAAGUUUCUGCAGAGGUCAAAACUGAAUCAGGAGAAGGUGAAAGUGCAGGAGCAGGGAAAAACUGGUCAGAGGAUGAUGAAGAUGAUGAGAACAUCGACAUGGACUAUUAUGGUGAUGAUCCUGAUGCUGCUGCAGAAUCAGAUUCCAGUACCAAGGAGCAAGAAGAAGAAGAUGAUACCACCACACUCUUCAGCUGCUCAAAGGCUAGUCAAAUGGCUGUGCAGCGCUUGACAAGAGACCUUCGAAAUAUUCUUCAGCAAGGUGACAGGUAUGGUUUUACAGCUGGACCAAAGGGAAACAAUCUAUUUAAAUGGCAUGUUGAACUGCAUGGCAUCCCAGAAGACACUAAGCUUGGGAGAGAUCUCACAGUCUAUGCUGCAAGAUAUAAGACUAAUCCUGCAAUUGUUCUGGAAAUGCAGUUUCCUGAGGACUAUCCAUACAGCCCGCCAUUCCUAAGAGUGAUUACUCCUCGCUUUAGGUUUCUGACAGGUCACAUUACUGUAGGUGGAAGCAUCUGCAUGGAAAUGCUAACCAAGUCAGGAUGGAGGCCUACUAAUGAUAUUGAGAGCAUCUUGGUCCAGGUGCGAUGUGAAAUACUUAGUGAUCCAAAUGCAAGCCUGGAUAUGACCCAAGCAAACAGACCAUACACAGAGAGGGAUGCGCGAGAAGCUUUUGAUCGUAUGGUGGUGCGGUAUGGAUGGAACAAAUAGAUCGUAUGGUGGUACGGUAUGGAUGGAACAAAUGAAUCAUAUGGUGAUGCAGUAUGAAUGGAAUAAAUUAAUCAAAGACAAUUAAGUGAUUUGCUGUACUGUAAAGAGGAGAUAAGUACUGCAGAAGAAAACACCUUAUUCAUCCACACAUAGUUCUGGAUUCCAGAUCAUCCUGUGACUGUUCGCUUGAGAAGAGAAACACAUUUUUUUUUGUUUGGUAGGUAGGAGGUAAUAUGCUGUGUAAAUAAACUAAAACUGUAAUGCUGCUUUUGGAAAUAGCUGCUUUGGAAUAAACAUUUGAAAAAUA